UACAAGUAGUAGGGAAAGGAAACUGGACCGACCCUUUCGGGGAGCUUGUACAGGUGCUGCAUGGCUGUCGUCAGCUCGUGUCGUGAGAUGUUCGGUUAAGUCCGCUAACGAGCGCAACCCUCGCUGUGUGUUACAAGUGUCACACGGAACUGCCGGUCAUAAACCGGAGGAAGGUGGGAUGACGUCAAGUCAGCAUGGCCUUUAUAUCCUGGGCUACACACACGCUACAAUGGGAAGGGACAAUAGGUUGCGAAGCCGCGAGGCGGAGCCAAUCCAAGCCAAAACUUACCCUCAGUUCAGAUUGCAGGCUGCAACUCGCCUGCAUGAAGUUGGAGUUGCUAGUAAACGCAGGUCAGCCAUACUGCGUUGAAUACGUUCCCGGGGCUU
rnacentral:rRNA from 1 species